rnacentral:rRNA from 1 species
AGAGUUUGAUCCUGGCUCAGAUUGAACGCUGGCGGCAUGCUUUACACAUGCAAGUCGAGCGGCAGCGCGGGGGCAACCCUGGCGGCGAGCGGCGAACGGGUGAGUAAUACAUCGGAACGUGUCCCGUAGUGGGGGAUAGCUCGGCGAAAGCCGGAUUAAUACCGCAUACGAUCCACGGAUGAAAGCGGGGGACCGCAAGGCCUCGCGCUAUGGGAGCGGCCGAUGUCCGAUUAGCUUGUUGGUGAGGUAAAGGCUCACCAAGGCAACGAUCGGUAGCUGGUCUGAGAGGAUGAUCAGCCACACUGGGACUGAGACACGGCCCAGACUCCUACGGGAGGCAGCAGUGGGGAAUUUUGGACAAUGGGGGAAACCCUGAUCCAGCCAUGCCGCGUGAGUGAAGAAGGCCUUCGGGUUGUAAAGCUCUUUUGGCCGGAAAGAAAAGACGUCGGAUAACACCCGGCGUUCUUGACGGUACCGGCAGAAUAAGCACCGGCUAACUACGUGCCAGCAGCCGCGGUAAUACGUAGGGUGCGAGCGUUAAUCGGAAUUACU